rnacentral:rRNA from 1 species
ACGGAGGGUGCAAGCGUUAUCCGGAUUUACUGGGUUUAAAGGGUGCGUAGGUGGGCAUGAAAGUCAGUGGUGAAAUCUCCGGGCUUAACCCGGAAACUGCCAUUGAUACUAUAUGUCUUGAAUACUUUGGAGGUAAGCGGAAUAUGUCAUGUAGCGGUGAAAUGCUUAGAUAUGACAUAGAACACCAAUUGCGAAGGCAGCUUACUACACAGCAAUUGACACUGAGGCACGAAAGCGUGGGGAUCAAACAGGAUUAGAUACCCUGGUAGUCCACGCCCUAAACGAUGGAUACUCGACAUUAGCGAUACACAGUUAGUGUCUGAGCGAAAGCAUUAAGUAUCCCACCUGGGAAGUACGAUCGCAAGAUUG